UUAGGUUUUAUGCUAUGGUUUUGGUGAAAAUUUUGUAUGAUUUGGAGUUUAUAUAAAAGAGAUAUAGGCGCUCAAAGUUAAGGUAGUGAUUUUGUAUCUAUUAUCAUUCUUUUGGACAUAACGCAUGCAUACAAAAAACAAUAAAAUGUCGGUAAUUGGAAUUAGAGAGAGCACUCUAUUAACUAUACUUUUGAUAUAUUAUUCAAUGAAUUUUAAGUUAAAAUAAAGGAGAU
rnacentral:lncRNA from 1 species